CAGUAGCCGCGGUAAUACGAAGGGGGCUAGCGCUGCUCGGAAUGACUGGGCGUAAAGGGCGCGUAGGCGGCGGCCAAAGUCAGGCGUGAAAUUCCCGGGCUCAACCUGGGGGCUGCGUUUGAUACUUGGUUGCUUGAGUGGGGAAGAGGGUCGUGGAAUUCCACGUGUAGCGGUGAAAUGCGUAGAGAUGUGGAGGAACACCAGUGGCGAAGGCGACUCUCUGGUCUGUAACUGACGCUGAGGAGCGAAAGCGUGGGGAGCGAACAGGAUUAGAUACCCGGGUAGUCCCUGUCUCUUAUAC
rnacentral:rRNA from 1 species